rnacentral:rRNA from 1 species
GACGAACGCUGGCGGCGUGCUUAACACAUGCAAGUCGAACGGAAAGGCCCUGCUUUUGUGGGGUGCUCGAGUGGCGAACGGGUGAGUAACACGUGAGUAACCUGCCCUUGACUUUGGGAUAACUUCAGGAAACUGGGGCUAAUACCGGAUAGGAGCUCCUGCUGCAUGGUGGGGGUUGGAAAGUUUCGGCGGUUGUGGAUGGUCUCGCGGCUUAUCGGCUUGUUGGUGGGGUUGUGGCUUACCAAGGCUUUGACGGGUAGCCGGCCUGAGAGGGUGACCGGCGACAUGGGGACUGAGAUACGGCCCAGACUCCUACGGGAGGCAGCAGUGGGGAAUCUUGCACAGUGGGCGGAAGCCUGAUGCAGCAACGCCGCGUGCGGGAUGACGGCCUUCGGGUUGUAAACCGCUUUCGCCUGUGACGAAGCGUGAGUGACGGUAAUGGGUAAAGAAGCACCGGCUAACUACGUG